GACGAACGCUGGCGGCGUGCUUAACACAUGCAAGUCGAACGGUGAAGGGGUCUGCUUUUGUGGGCCCUGGAUGAGUGGCGAACGGGUGAGUAACACGUGAGUAACCUGCCCCCUUCUUCUGGAUAACCGCAUGAAAGUGUGGCUAAUACGGGAUAUUCUGGGUCUGUCGCAUGAUGGGUCUGGGAAAGAUUGCGCCUUUGGGUGUUUUUGGUGGGGGAUGGGCUCGCGGCCUAUCAGCUUGUUGGUGGGGUGAUGGCCUACCAAGGCGGUGACGGGUAGCCGGACUGAGAGGGUGGACGGUCACACUGGGACUGAGACACGGCCCAGACUCCUACGGGAGGCAGCAGUGGGGAAUAUUGCACAAUGGGCGCAAGCCUGAUGCAGCGACGCCGCGUGAGGGAUGGAGGCCUUCGGGGUGUAAACCUCUUUCGCCAGUGAAGCAGGCCUGCUCCUUGUGGGUGGGUUGACGGUAGCUGGAUAAGAAGCGCCGGCUAACUACGUG
rnacentral:rRNA from 1 species